GGAAGUUUUUGUUUUUGUUAACCAUCUGAAAUCCUCUGCCAAAUUUUAUUAAAAUCGCUUCAGAUAUGGCAUAUUUCGUGUUUUGCUCAUUGGGAUCAAGAGGAGAAACUUUUAGUUCCCUUGGACACUCUAUUGUCCAUUCACAAGUCUGCCGAAAGCAGUUUAUUUUUAAACGCGACAAAAGUUGUUGCUCAAAUGCACAGAGGUCCUAUGUUUGAGUAAUAUUAGGAUGAUGAAGUUAAAAUUGCUGAAUUUGAAUUAAGAUGGCUUUCCCUCUUCGUUUGGGUAUCAGAGACUGAAGCGGUGAGAACUUGCAACAGGGCAUUAAAUAAAGCUCUCCCAAUAAGAUAAGAUCCCAAUUAUCACGAAAUUCUUUCGGUUUUUUUUUUUGUAUGUCCAUGCAUUUUAUUAAUUUUUUUUAAGUGAAACAUUGACUGAUAUUGGAAUGACGUGGAUUUAUAUUUAAAAUUAUACAUAUUUUCGUUUGAAUGUAUAAAAAAUCUUCUGAAGAAAUUAUAUCUUAGCAAAAUAAAUGUUUGUGUAUAUGCAUUAAGAUGGAGGUAUUUUUCACAAUUAAAGUACUCCGGAUCAUUUUGGCAAUGAAGAAUCUUACCGUAGAGGGUGAAAUUUCCAUUUGAGCUUUUUGACGUCCCGCAUUCGAAGAAUUUGCCGCACGAGGACUAGUCUUGGAAGGUGUUGCAACAGCUCCACCCCUUGCCCCUCUGCCUCUGCCCCUGCCACGUCCCCUAGAGUUAACUUCAUCCUUGAAACUUUUGGAGGAACGUGUUUGCUUUAGAGGAGUAUCAUCGCUGCUGUCGUUAUCCUCGCUAUCAUCUUGGUAAUUUGCAGUUGUCGAGUUUCUGGCCGUCGUGGUUGUUUUAAUAGUUGCAGGCUGAACGACGGUUUCUAGCAUUUUCAAAAUAUUAUCUUGUGUAAUAUUUAGUUUGAAUUGUGUUAGUUCAGUAUCAAGUUGCUCCUCAGCUGGCAUUUUCUCCAUUAGAUGCUCUACAGCCUUGGCUUUGUACGACCUAAAAAAAUUUUGGCAAUAAAUUAAAGCAAUAUUCAAAAGCAA